UUCAGCAGUCAAGAAUAUUAGUCAAUGCUCGAAAGAGUGAACUAGCUAACUGAAAUCAAUUUAAAAAAUUGAUAACAUAAGGGAAAAUAAUGAUAUUACCUUAUUAUUAGUGUCGUCCAAAACUGGUGCCAGAAGACUCGGUAAGGCCAGAGACACGAACGUUAAUCGUCUUAAUCAGGCGUAAAGGGUUUGUAGGCGGCUUUAAAAUUUAGUUAAAAUAAUAUUAAGUAAAAAAUAAAAGCUAGAAUCAAAUAGAGGAUAUAUGAAAGAAUGCUUAGAGUAGGUCUGAUAUCUUUAGAUACUAAGUAGAAUAUUAAAGGCGAAAGCUUUUUUCCAUUAAUGAUUGACGCUCAGAAACGAAGGUGAGGAUAGGAAAUAGGAUUAGAUACCCAGAAUACCCCUCUCUGUCAACGAUGAAUGGUAGUUAUUAGUAAAAAUUAUUAAUGGCAAUGUUAACACGAUAACCAUUCCGCCUUGUGAGUACAACUGCAAAGUUGAAAACAAAAAAAUUAGUCGUUCGAGCAUCGAGAGGA
rnacentral:rRNA from 1 species